rnacentral:tRNA from 1 species
AGAUCUGAAGUAAAUAUUACAUCUAGUUUCGGCCUAGACAUAGACUUCUAAGUCCUGAUCUU